rnacentral:rRNA from 1 species
UGCGCAGGCGGCUUUUUAAGACAGGUGUGAAAUCCCCGGGCUUAACCUGGGAAUGGCGCUUGUGACUGGAAGGCUAGAGUGCGGCAGAGGGGGAUGGAAUUCCUGGUGUAGCAGUGAAAUGCGUAGAUAUCAGGAGGAACACCGAUGGCGAAGGCAGUCCCCUGGGUCGACACUGACGCUCAGGCACGAAAGCGUGGGGAGCAAACAGGAUUAGAUACCCUGGUAGUCC